CCCAACCCUCUCACACUCGCCAUAAGUAUUCCGAUUAGUGUGAUGCUGCUAUCAACAAACUAAUCAAUCAACGUGGAGAACAGUGUUUCGUAUGUGUAUCAUGCAAUGUUUGCCUAUUUUGACAGAGGACUUGUUAAGAAUUGAUGGAAGCUGCAGUCGAUUGUGAUGCCUCUUUCAGAGUUUGAUCAUGCAGAGAAAGGAGAUAAAUUUUAUGGUGUUUGGCACUUUGUCAGAUGCUGCUUGGGGUGGCCGAUGCUUGAAAAUCACUGGAUCUUUAUACAGGGCUUGCCAUGCUGUGCACACGGCCUACCACCCCUUCGAUUUUGCAUGGUGAACUUGCGUAUGCUAGUUUGGUAAAGUUGGUAUCGAUGCAUCAAGUUUAUACGAGACUUGAUAUAUAUGGUUGAUUGUUGAAAUGUUAGUAGCAGUAUCAGAAAUUCUGAGUUGUUGAAUAGUUGAUGCAUCCUAAGUUGAGUAGGUUUUAUAAUUCGAUAUUUUCACUUGCUUAUUAGGUUUGUUUCUGUUGGUAUGUAUGUGGGUUACUCUUGCCACCAUAUUACUUCUUCCAAAGACACAUCUUUCUCCGUUUUUAUGUUUA